UACGUAGGUGACCAGCGUUGUCCGGAUUUACUGGGCGUAAAGAGCGCGCAGGCGGUCGUUCAAGUCGAGUGUGAAAGCCCCCCGGCUCAACUGGGGAGGGUCAUUCGAUACUGAUCGACUUGAAGGCAGGAGAGGGAAGCGGAAUUCCCGGUGUAGUGGUGAAAUGCGUAGAUAUCGGGAGGAACACCCGUGGCGAAAGCGGCUCUCUGGGACGGUAC
rnacentral:rRNA from 1 species